rnacentral:misc_RNA from 1 species
AACUUGUCAACCACAUCUAUUUUGAUGUUGGCUUGGAUGUGGGGGUUGUUUGCAGGCUUCUGUAAAAGUCGGCUCCCCUAAAAUGUAUUAGUGGUAUCCGAGGCUAUUACUAUCAGGUGUGAUAAAUUAUCUAUGCCUUUGGUAUGCUGCAUACUGCUUCGAACAAAAACAAUGUUGAUGA